GGCUCCGUAGCUCAGUUGGAUAGAGCAACAGAUUUCUAAUCUGUGGGUCGCGGGUUCGAAUCCCUCCGGAGUCA
rnacentral:tRNA from 1 species